UGGGGAAUAUUGCGCAAUGGGGGGAACCCUGACGCAGCCAUGCCGCGUGAAUGAAGAAGGCCUUAGGGUUGUAAAGUUCUUUCGGUAUUGAGGAAGGUUGAUGUGUUAAUAGCACAUCAAAUUGACGUUAAAUACAGAAGAAGCACCGGCUAACUCCGUGCCAGCAGCCGCGGUAAUACGGAGGGUGCGAGCGUUAAUCGGAAUAACUGGGCGUAAAGGGCACGCAGGCGGUUAUUUAAGUGAGGUGUGAAAGCCUCGGGCUUAACCUGGGAAUUGCAUUUCAGACUGGGUAACUAGAGUACUUUAGGGAGGGGUAGAAUUCCACGUGUAGCGGUGAAAUGCGUAGAGAUGUGGAGGAAUACCGAAGGCGAAGGCAGCCCCUUGGGAAUGUACUGACGCUCAUGUGCGAAAGCGUGGGGAGCAAACAGGAUUAGAUACCCUGGUAGUCCACGCUGUAAACGCUGUCGAUUUGGGGGUUGGGGUUUAACUCUGGCGCCCGUAGCUAACGUGAUAAAUCGACCGCCUGGGGAGUACGGCCGCAAGGUUA
rnacentral:rRNA from 1 species